rnacentral:rRNA from 1 species
AAUCUUCCACAAUGGGCGAAAGCCUGAUGGAGCAACGCCGCGUGAGUGAAGAAGGUUUNCGGAUCNUNAAACUCUGUUGUAAGGGNAGAACAAGUACAGUAGUAACUGGCUGUACCUUGACGGUACCUUAUUAGAAAGCCACGGCUAACUACGUGCCAGCAGCCGCGGUAAUACGUAGGUGGCAAGCUUUGUCCGGAAUUAUUGGGCGUAAAGCGCGCGCAGGUGGUUUCUUAAGUCUGAUGUGAAAGCCCACGGCUCAACCGUGGAGGGUCAUUGGAAACUGGGAGACUUGAGUGCAGAAGAGGAUAGUGGAAUUCCAAGUGUAGCGGUGAAAUGCGUAGAGAUUUGGAGGAACACCAGUGGCGAAGGCGACUAUCUGGUCUGUAACUGACACUGAGGCGCGAAAGCGUGGGGAGCAAACAGG